CCAAUUUUGCUGCAAUUUUUGGGCUUUUUUUACCCAAUUCCCAUUUUUUUAUACAUCAUUUGUAUAUCUAUGUAUAUCGAAUGUAUAUAACCCAUUUUUCUGCUUUUCGAGACCUGUAAUCUGCUUCCCUUACACCCUCGAACACCUAUGGCUGGCUCGAUACUCACAAAUGCAAGGAGAGGAGUCCAAAGUAGACUCAGAUGGAGUUCACACAACAAACGAAAAGACAAAAAUUAGCAUUUGAGAUGAAGAAAAAAAAAGUGAGACAUGAUUUUAAUUGAGGUGAGAAUAGCUUAAGUAUCUCGAAACUCAAAGGGUCAUCAAAACCAGUGUUCCAGAUGAAUUUAAGAAGACAAAAUGAACUAACUAUAUAUAUCAACAAAGCAAACACCUCAAACUUAAUAAUGACAAGCAAGCUGCACUAAGAGAAACAGGGAACAAAGCUAACAAACAGAGAAAACCUUAACACUUAAUUAUUAGAGUCCUAGACUUAUGGGCAUUCUCCAACACAUACAUAUACGACAACAAAAUCUGUAAAGAAAUAUGCAUAGACAUCAUAGGAAUGAACCAUCUUAUUAUAAAACAAAUACUUAGCAUUCAAACAAUAAUUAGAAAUAUAAAGAGAGUCUGCUAAUGAAACAAUAUGUUAUACAUCUAAUCAAUAAUCAAUGCCAAUUAUCAUGAAGAUCUUACAAAUUAAGAGAGCUACAAUAAGCUGAUUUUUUUUUACUUAAAAGAAAAAGAAAGAACAGAGAAGCCAUAAACAUGACGAAUUCGAGUUGAUGGAAGCUCAUAUGAGAUCAUGUAUCAACAUGCUACACACAUGAAAGGAUAUGCAAAUAAAAUCAAGCCUCAAGUAAACUAAAAAAAAUAAAUUCGACUCCAACAUAUCUAAGAUGCAGCCGAUUAAAACAGGAACACACAAAUUUGUACUGACUUGACUUACAAACAGCAAACAACAAACCAUUUAAACAACAAUUAUUAAGCUGGAGAAGGCAGAAAUUCCAAGCAAAAUAUCAUUCUAUGCAGUGAGAAAACGAAUCUCAAGCCAUAUGGAGAAGGGAGGAAUGAUGCAGUUAAACACCAACUUAGACACGGAUAAGAAAAUUUGUCUUAGCUUCAUUCCAAAUGAAGACGAAAACAACAUAUACACUAGAAAUUCAAAGCUACAACCAACAGAUAAACAUAUGUACUGAUAUGAGUGAUACACCUUUAUUGAGCAUGAUCUCCGAAUAAUCCAUACACCAAACUUAAGCAGUGAAUACAACAAACAGUAUGAAGAGGUGUAACAAGUCACUAAUCAAAUCUUGAAAUCUGGAAGAAUUAUACUAUUCGAACAGUGACAAAAACAGAACACACUUCAUCUGAAAGGAAAGAGCGAUAAGCAGAAACGAGAAUAUUACCUUUCCUGGAGCAGCAACCUGAGACAACGAACUUUGAAGAGCUUCCUACUACUACUGACCCCCACCAACAGAUGAACAAAACAACUCGAAAGAAAAUUGAAAAUCUGAGGCUCCAACUUUCGUGGGUUCGAUUUCAGAGAAUACUAUUCUCCAACCUUCAAAUUUCAAUCCUCUGUCCGUUUCUAAAAUGGCACCAAUACCAUGUAUUUAUAGCAAAAAAAAAAAAAAAGGUUUGAAUUCAAAUAGCCAUUUGAACGGGAGAUGAGAGAUUGAUUGGAGAGCAUGGAUGGAAAAACAAGCAAGAGGAAAGCAUACCCCUAAAAUUCUGGACUCGAUGUGAUAGCUCCGAUUCGUAUCAUAUUUGGGUGAGAUUUUUAUCUAAUCCAAAGUCAACAAAUCAAGCUCGAGGUUUGCAAUCUUUGAAUAUGGAGGGAGAGACUGUUAAUGGUGAUUGGCGGUGUAGUUGGAUGACGAAAUUAAGGUUCUUGGUAUUGAUUUUUGCGCUUUGGAAGAAAAAGGGGAGAGGAGCGUGUCUAUGGCGAACGAUGGGCUAGUUUGUUGGGUUUUGAAUUGGAUUUGGUUCGCGAUUUGCUUUGUUUCUGGGUUUGGUUUCGCUAUGGAGAAGAAGAACGAUGGACAUGGGUCGUUCUUUUGUUUCCGUACGCGUUUGGUAU
rnacentral:lncRNA from 1 species